rnacentral:rRNA from 1 species
CUGCAAGUCGAGCGAAUGAUGAAGAAGCUUGCUUCUUCUGAUUUAGCGGCGGACGGGUGAGUAACACGUGGGCAACCUACCUAGUAGAUUGGGAUAACUCCGGGAAACCGGGGCUAAUACCGAAUAAUUCAUUUCACCUCAUGGUGAGAUGCUGAAAGGCGGUUUCGGCUGUCACUACUAGAUGGGCCCGCGGUGCAUUAGCUAGUUGGUGGGGUAAUGGCCUACCAAGGCAACGAUGCAUAGCCGACCUGAGAGGGUGAUCGGCCACAUUGGGACUGAGACACGGCCCAAACUCCUACGGGAGGCAGCAGUAGGGAAUCUUCCACAAUGGACGAAAGUCUGAUGGAGCAACGCCGCGUGAGUGAUGAAGGUUUUCGGAUCGUAAAACUCUGUUGUAAGGGAAGAACAAGUACGUUAGUAACUGAACGUACCUUGACGGUACCUUAUUAGAAAGCCACGGCUAACUACGUGCCAGCAGCCGCGGUAAUACGUAGGUGGCAAGCGUUGUCCGGAUUUAUUGGGCGUAAAGCGCGCGCAGGUGGUUUCUUAAGUCUGAUGUGAAAGCCCACGGCUCAACCGUGGAGGGUCAUUGGAAACUGGGAGACUUGAGUGCAGAAGAGGAAAGUGGAAUUCCAAGUGUAGCGGUGAAAUGCGUAGAGAUUUGGAGGAACACCAGUGGCGAAGGCGACUUUCUGGUCUGUAACUGACACUGAGGCGCGAAAGCGUGGGGAGCAAACAGGAUUAGAUACCCUGGUAGUCCACGCCGUAAACGAUGAGUGCUAAGUGUUAGGGGGUUUCCGCCCCUUAGUGCUGCAGCUAACGCAUUAAGCACUCCGCCUGGGGAGUACGGCCGCAGGUU